UGACAGGUUAUGUAUGAUGCAACUGGUGUGCGAUUGGUAGCUGGACGCCAAGUCGACGACUGUUAUUUCUCGGGUGUGAUCUAUAGUAUGAUGGCAGUGGUUGUUGGAGGAGUCUAAAAGCAAAGAUCAAAGCCGCACAUUCUUAUGCAUUCCCAGAUUCUUCAACGUUGGUAGCACUGGAUGAGCGACCAAAUCUAGAAGUACAUGGUUGAAAAGAGGUGAACAGCUGGGUUGAAAAGAGGGAAUAGUGGUCAACAGUGGUCAGAAAGGUGAAAAGAGGGAACAGCUGUCCGAACUCAGCUUGGUUGAAAAGAGGGAACAAUGGUCAACAGUGGUCAGAAGGUUGAAAAGAGGUGAACAGUGGUCAGAAUUCAGCAGUAUGCUGAAAAGAGGUGAACAGAGUAGAGGAGAUGAUACAAGAAAGUCAUAAGCGAACGGAUGUAUUGGUAAAACAGGAAGAGAUACAAGAGACUCCCCACACUUUUGUUUUUAUUGUUUUGUCCAGCUACUUGACUGUUUUGAACUCUUCUUGUUUUUAAUUACAUCUACUUCCUUGUUUUGUACUCUUCUUGUAGAAGAUCACCAAAGAAUCGAUAAACUAACAGAAAAACCAGUGCCAUCAUA